UACAGAGGGUGCGAGCGUUGUUCGGAAUUAUUGGGCGUAAAGGGCGCGUAGGCGGUGCGGUAAGUCACCUGUGAAAUCUCCUGGCUCAACUGGGAGCUUGCAGGCGAAACUGCCGUGCUGGAGUGUGGGAGAGGUGCGUGGAAUUCCUGGUGUAGCGGUGAAAUGCGUAGAUAUCAGGAGGAACACCUGUGGCGAAAGCGGCGCACUGGACCACAACUGACGCUGAGGCGCGAAAGCAUGGGUAGCGAACAGG
rnacentral:rRNA from 1 species